rnacentral:lncRNA from 1 species
GCAAUCAUUAUUCUACCUGACCGUUCGAUCUUUUCUUUACAGCUUGAAUAUGGGUUCACACGUGGCUGUUAGAGGAGAUGUGAACCAUGACAUGUAGUUCAAUCUACCUAAUAGACCACAAACCUCUUUUUCUGUUCUCGGUUCAGGCAUUUCUUGUUUUUCUGUCUUUUUUUUUUAUUUUUUUAUUUUUUUUUAUUUUUAAGCAGGAUCAACCUCGAUUCCUCUCUUACA